rnacentral:rRNA from 1 species
CACGGGGGGAGCAAGCGUUGUUCGGAAUCACUGGGCUUAAAGGGCGCGUAGGCGGGCUCUCAAGUCAGGGGUGAAAGCCCGCGGCUCAACCGCGGAAGUGCCUCUGAUACUGGGGGCCUGGAGGGAGGUAGGGGCGUGCGGAACUUCCGGUGGAGCGGUGAAAUGCGUAGAUAUCGGAAGGAACACCGGUGGCGAAAGCGGCGCGCUGGACCUCUUCUGACGCUGAGGCGCGAAAGCCAGGGGAGCAAACGGGG